AAGCAGCAAAACCUGUAUGGGGAUCCUGAAGCUAACUAAUCUGGUUCGAGGCUUAAGAUUGUCUAAGGCAGUCUACCCAGGGUUUACCCUGCCUCUUGCUCUAUGACAGCUGGAAUAUGCUCCUGCAACCCUGGAUUGAUGAGCAGAAGCUGUUUGACGAGCUUGGAAUCAGCUCACCUUAGAGCGGUGGAUGAAUCACUGCUGUUUCCUGCUAGAAGCCUUUUAAAUCCCCUUUUUUAUAGCUGCUUUGGCUUGCUCUUUAGGAGAAGCUUGCCUAUUCCACAUACUCACCCACAACUGGUUGCUUUAUUUUCUGUAAUAUGUAAAAAUGGGGAGAUCCAGAUUUAUUCCCCUAAAAAAUGGUAACAUCUAAAAAAACAGCU